rnacentral:rRNA from 1 species
AGUGAACGCUGGCGGUAGGCCUAACACAUGCAAGUCGAACGGCAGCACAGUAAGAGCUUGCUCUUACGGGUGGCGAGUGGCGGACGGGUGAGGAAUACAUCGGAAUCUACUUUUUCGUGGGGGAUAACGUAGGGAAACUUACGCUAAUACCGCAUACGACCUACGGGUGAAAGCAGGGGAUCUUCGGACCUUGCGCGAUUGAAUGAGCCGAUGUCGGAUUAGCUAGUUGGCGGGGUAAAGGCCCACCAAGGCGACGAUCCGUAGCUGGUCUGAGAGGAUGAUCAGCCACACUGGAACUGAGACACGGUCCAGACUCCUACGGGAGGCAGCAGUGAGGAAUAUUGGACAAUGGGCGCAAGCCUGAUCCAGCCAUACCGCGUGGGUGAAGAAGGCCUUCGGGUUGUAAAGCCCUUUUGUUGGGAUAGAAAAGCAGCAGGUUAAUACCCCGCUGUUCUGACGGUACCCAAAGAAUAAGCACCGGCUAACUUCGUG